AACGAACGCUGGCGGCAGGCCUAACACAUGCAAGUCGAGCGAAGUCUUCGGACUUAGCGGCGGACGGGUGAGUAACGCGUGGGAACGUACCCUUUGGUACGGAAUAGCCCCGGAACGAUGGGAGUAAUACCGUAUGGUGUCUUCGGACUAAAGAUUUAUCGCCAAAGGAUCGGCCCGCGUUGGAUUAGGUAGUUGGUGGGGUAAUGGCCUACCAAGCCGACGAUCCAUAGCUGGUUUGAGAGGAUGAUCAGCCACACUGGGACUGAGACACGGCCCAGACUCCUACGGGAGGCAGCAGUGGGGAAUCUUAGACAAUGGGGGCAACCCUGAUCUAGCCAUGCCGCGUGAGUGAUGAAGGCCCUAGGGUUGUAAGCUCUUUCAGCUGGGAAGAUAAUGACGGUACCAGCAGAAGAAGCCCCCGGCUAACUCCGUGCCAGCAGCCGCGGUAAUACGGAGGGGGCUAGCGUUGUUCGGAAUUACUGGGCGUAAAGCGCGCGUAGGCGGACUGGAAAGUUGGGGGUGAAAUCCCGGGCUCAACCUCGGAACUGCCUUCAAAACUAUCAGUCUGGAGUUCGAGAGAGGUGAGUGGAAUU
rnacentral:rRNA from 1 species